rnacentral:rRNA from 1 species
CGGAGGAUGCGAGCGUUAUCCGGAUUAUUGGGUUAAGGAGCGCAGACGGUUUAAGUCAGCUGUGAAGUUGGGCGUCAACCUUAAAUUAGCAGUUGAUACUGGAGACCUUGAGUGCAGUUGAGGCAGGCGGAAUUCGUGGUGUAGCGGUGAAAUGCUUAGAUAUCACGAAGAACUCCGAUUGCGAAGGCAGCUUGCUAAAGUGUAACUGACGUUCAUGCUCGAAAGUGUGGUAUCAAACAGGAUU